GAAUGCGGAGCAUCCGGAGCAGGCGCGCGUGGAAUGCGCUACACGUCGCAGCCUGCGGCGGGCCCGCUGGUGGCGCUCCUGGCCCGGCCCUUGGCUACCCCGCAGCAGUUCUUCAGUGGCAUGCUUUACGUCCCCUAGAGCAGCUAAAGCUGCCAGUUGAAGAACUGUUGGUCGUAGCUGCUUCUCUGCCCCGGGAGGGCGGCCCUCGGACCCCCGGAGGACCAGCCUGGACUCUCGGUGCAGCGGCGCCACAGGAAAGGACGCCACAUCCCCAGCAGCGAAGACAGAGGGGCUCUUGGUCCGCAUGAACUGGGGGAGGAAAAAAGAGGCCGGUCAGAGGGGGACAGGGGUGGGUGUCCAGCGCCACUCCCCUCACUGUGCCACCUACCAGGUCCACUGGGAUGGCACCACUGCGGUCCAGCGUGAUGGGGCUCCCCUGGAGGAAGCGGGAGUUUGGGACGACUCCUGGGGGGGGGAGAGGAGGAGACCGGUCAGAAGCUGCCUUCUGCUCAGUCUCGUCGACACAGAUUGGCCACCGUGAUGGUACAGCUCAUGACCUGACCUGGCCUGGCCACCACCCGAUGAAUCGCCAUCCAGCACACUGGACUGGACACGGCUGCCCUAAGCAGCGAGUCCUGCAUCGUCAUCCUCAUUUUGGCUCUGCAAGGCUUCCGUGGCUGGUGCCUGGCUCAGUGGCAACCCCACGUGGCCAGACCCGGGAAUGCUGGCUUUUCGCCCCAGUGGGGAACAAGGCGUCCUUGUUCACUGAGGGGAGGCGGAAGGAAAAUGCUGCCCAGGCUGAGAGCAGCAGUGGAUGGUUGUUACUCUCCCCAUUCAAUUUUGCAAUAUCCCGCCUGAAGAGGCCUGGAGUACUCGAAAGCUUGCAUGUUUUGGGGUCACCUUUCGCUUGGCCCAAAUAAAGGGCUUGCACUAGGA